rnacentral:lncRNA from 1 species
CAGGGAAUCAUUUUUGGGGGGCCGAAAGUUUUUAAAUAUUCAUAAAAUUUGAACAGACAGAACUUUGAAAUUAAAUUAGUCAAAUGCACAAAAAGUUCAUUUACACUCCAUAUACUCGCACGAGGACUUACACACUCCAUUGUGUGCGGUCCGGCCAAGCCUUGAAAGUUAGAAUAAACUACUAAUUAAUGCAGGAGUAACGUAUAUUUGUCCGCAUGUGUGAGACUGUAGCCACGUAAGCCCGCCUGUUUUAUAGUUGGCAAUCUAUUGCGAUUUGUUUGUAAAUUAUGGUUUUUGCCCUUUUCGCUCUGCUCUUUCCGCAUCGGCCGCAAUAUGCGAAAGCGGAAUUGAAGUUUUAUGCUAAUUUCCAGCUUCAUACAUACCUCUCUCGCUGAGCCUAGGACCUUAUCUGGUUGUCGGAGUCCUGUCAACACAAGGCAUUACAAGGCAAUUACGAAUUUGUUUAUGGCACUAUAUCUCCCCGUCGACUUGCCACUUGGCCACACCUCCAUCCAUCUUCCAGAGCGUGCCCAG